rnacentral:rRNA from 1 species
CCGUGCUAAAUGUAGGGCUAAUACACGUUUGAGGUCUUUUGACCGCGUUUAUUAGUUUGAAACCCGCCUUGGCUUUCGGUGAUUCAUAAUAAACUGGCGAAUCGCAUUUAGCGAUGGACCAUUCAAGUUUCUGACCCAUCAGCUUGACGGUAGGGUAUUGGCCUACCGAGGCAGCAACGGGUAACGGGGAAUUAGGGUUCGAUUCCGGAGAGGGAGCCUGAGAGACGGCUACCACAUCUAAGGAAGGCAGCAGGCGUGCAAAUUACCCAAUCCUGACACAGGGAGGUAGUGACAAGAAAUAACAAUACAGGGCGAAUGUCUUGUAAUUGGAAUGAUGGUGACCCAAACCCUCACCAGAGUAGCAAUUGGAGGGCAAGUCUGGUGCCAGCAGCCGCGGUAAUUCCAGCUCCAAUAGCGUAUAUUAAACUUGUUGCAGUUAAAAAGCUCGUAGUUGUAUUUUUGCGUUAGCGGUUUGACCAUUUGGUUGGUUAUUUCGUUUUCGCUUUUGGGAAUUUCCCUUUUUACUUUGAGAAAAUUAGAGUGUUUCAAGCAGACUUUUGUCUUGAAUACUUCAACAUGGAAUAAUAGAGUAGGACUUUGGUUCUAUUUUGUUGGUUAUUGAACCUUAGUAAUGGUUAAUAGGAACGGUUGGGGGCAUUCGUAUUUAACUGUCAGAGGUGAAAUUCUUAGAUUUGUUAAAGACGAACUACUGCGAAAGCAUUUGCCAAGGACGUUUCCAUUAAUCAAGGACGAAAGUUAGGGGAUCGAAGACGAUCAGAUACC